AGUGAACGCUGGCGGCGUGCUUAACACAUGCAAGUCGAACGAGAACGGAAUAUAGCUUGCUAUAUUUGUCAGCUAAGUGGCGCACGGGUGAGUAAUGCAUAGAUAACCUGCCCUUAAGAAAGGAAUAACAGUUGGAAACGACUGCUAAUGCCCUAUAUGCCUUUAAUACAUAAGUAUGCAAGGGAAACGCUUUAGUGCUUAAGGAUGGGUCUGUAUGGUAUCAGCUUGUUGGUGAGGUAAUGGCUCACCAAGGCUAUGACGCCUAACUGGUUUGAGAGGAUGAUCAGUCACAGUGGAACUGAGACACGGUCCAGACUCCGACGGGAGGCAGCAGUGGGGAAUAUUGCACGAUGGACGAAAGUCUGAUGCAGCAACGCCGCGUGGAGGAUGACACAUUUCGGUGCGUAAACUCCUUUUAUAUAGGAAGAUAAUGACGGUACUAUAUGAAUAAGCACCGGCUAACUCCGUGCCAGCCGCCGCCGUAA
rnacentral:rRNA from 1 species